AACGAACGCUGGCGGCAGGCCUAACACAUGCAAGUCGAGCGAAGCCUUCGGGCUUAGCGGCGGACGGGUGAGUAACGCGUGGGAACGUGCCCUUUGGUACGGAAUAGCCCCGGGAAACUGGGAGUAAUACCGUAUGUGGUCGAGAGACGAAAGAUUUAUCGCCAAAGGAUCGGCCCGCGUUGGAUUAGGUAGUUGGUGGGGUAAUGGCCUACCAAGCAGACGAUCCAUAGCUGGUUUGAAAGGAUGAUCAGCCAGACUGGGACUGAGACACGGCCCAGACUCCUACGGGAGGCAGCAGUGGGGAAUCUUAGACAAUGGGGGAAACCCUGAUCUAGCCAUGCCGCGUGAUCGAUGAAGGCCUUAGGGUUGUAAAGAUCUUUCAGUGGGGAAGGUAAUGACUGUACCCACAGAAGAAGCCCCGGCUAACUCCGUGCCAGCAGCCGCCGUAACAC
rnacentral:rRNA from 1 species